rnacentral:rRNA from 1 species
AGAGUUUGAUCCUGGCUCAGGAUGAACGCUAGCUACAGGCUUAACACAUGCAAGUCGAGGGGAAACGAUAUUGGAAGCUUGCUUCCGAUAGGCGUCGACCGGCGCACGGGUGAGUAACGCGUAUCCAACCUGCCCACCACUUGGGGAUAACCUUGCGAAAGUAAGACUAAUACCCAAUGAUAUCUCUAGAAGACAUCUGAAAGAGAUUAAAGAUUUAUCGGUGAUGGAUGGGGAUGCGUCUGAUUAGCUUGUUGGCGGGGUAACGGCCCACCAAGGCAACGAUCAGUAGGGGUUCUGAGAGGAAGGUCCCCCACAUUGGAACUGAGACACGGUCCAAACUCCUACGGGAGGCAGCAGUGAGGAAUAUUGGUCAAUGGACGAGAGUCUGAACCAGCCAAGUAGCGUGCAGGAAGACGGCCCUAUGGGUUGUAAACUGCUUUUAUAAGGGAAUAAAGUGAGUCUCGUGAGACUUUUUGCAUGUACCUUAUGAAUAAGGACCGGCUAAUUCCGUGCCAGCAGCCGCGGUAAUACGGAAGGUCCGGGCGUUAUCCGGAUUUAUUGGGUUUAAAGGGAGCGUAGGCCGGAGAUUAAGCGUGUUGUGAAAUGUAGAUGCUCAACAUCUGAACUGCAGCGCGAACUGGUUUCCUUGAGUACGCACAAAGUGGGCGGAAUUCGUGGUGUAGCGGUGAAAUGCUUAGAUAUCACGAAGAACUCCGAUUGCGAAGGCAGCUCACUGGAGCGCAACUGACGCUGAAGCUCGAAAGUGCGGGUAUCGAACAGGAUUAGAUACCCUGGUAGUCCGCACGGUAAACGAUGGAUGCCCGCUGUUGGUCUGAAUAGGUCAGCGGCCAAGCGAAAGCAUUAAGCAUCCCACCUGGGGAGUACGCCGGCAACGGUGAAACUCAAAGGAAUUGACGGGGGCCCGCACAAGCGGAGGAACAUGUGGUUUAAUUCGAUGAUACGCGAGGAACCUUACCCGGGCUUGAAUUGCAGAGGAAGGAUUUGGAGACAAUGACGCCCUUCGGGGCCUCUGUGAAGGUGCUGCAUGGUUGUCGUCAGCUCGUGCCGUGAGGUGUCGGCUUAAGUGCCAUAACGAGCGCAACCCCUCUCCUUAGUUGCCAUCAGGU